CAACUACUCCCUCUGUCCCAAAUUUCUUGUCUUAGAUUUGUCUAGAUACAGNUCCCAAAUUUCUUGUCUUAGAUUUGUCUAGAUACAGAUGUAUCUAAUACUAAAAUGUGACUUGAUACAUCCGUAUCUAGACAAAUCUAAGACAAGAAUUUUGGGACGGAGGGAGUACUUU
rnacentral:pre_miRNA from 1 species